rnacentral:rRNA from 1 species
CCUACGGGGGGCUGCAGUCGAGAAUCAUUCACAAUGGGGGAAACCCUGAUGGUGCGACGCCGCGUGGGGGAAUGAAGGUCUUCGGAUUGUAAACCCCUGUCAUGUGGGAGCAAAUUAAAAAGAUAGUACCACAAGAGGAAGAGACGGCUAACUCUGUGCCAGCAGCCGCGGUAAUACAGAGGUCUCAAGCGUUGUUCGGAAUCACUGGGCGUAAAGGGUGCGUAGGCUGUUUCGUAAGGCGUGUGUGAAAGGCGCGGGCUCAACCCGCGGACGGCACAUGAUACUGCGAGACUAGAGUGAUGGAGGGGGAGGCGGAAUUCUCGGUGUAGCAGUGAAAUGCGUAGAUAUCAAGAGGAACACUGGUGGCGAAGGCGGGUUCCUGGACAGUAACUGACGCUGAGGCACGAAAGCGAGGGGAGCGAAAGGGAUUAGAUACCCUUGUAGUC